AGGCCGCGGGCUGUGGUGUCCCCUGCAACCGGCUCUUGGGCCACGGGCUCCUCCGCUAGCGCCGCCGCCGCCUCGCCUUCCCGGAUACCUCCCGGAGGGGGCGGGGCUCACCGGAUAUGUAAAUAACUGGGCGUGGCCACGCCGCUCCUUGAGCCCCGUCCGCCCCAUGUGCUCAUGAAUAAUUCACACGGCCACCUCCCUCUCCGAGCCAAUCAGGAGGCAGCAAGCCCAGCUCAUGAAUACGGCCUCAGGGCAGCCGCCCUGUUCAAAUGGAGUUGACUGUUAAUACAGCGAGAAAGUUGAACACUCUAAUCAGCAUCCUUGGAAAGAUCACAUGGCUAGAAGCACCAGGAUUGCUAGAAACAUCAAGUUUCAACCAAUCUGCAUGGUACUGAU